rnacentral:rRNA from 1 species
UACGUAGGGACCAAGCGUUGUUCGGAUUUACUGGGCGUAAAGGGCGCGUAGGCGGCGUGUCAAGUCAAUUGUGAAAUCUCCGAGCUUAACUCGGAACGGUCAAUUGAUACUGAUGUGCUAGAGUGCAGAAGGGGCAAUCGGAAUUCUUGGUGUAGCGGUGAAAUGCGUAGAUAUCAAGAGGAACACCUGAGGUGAAGACGGGUUGCUGGGCUGACACUGACGCUGAGGCGCGAAAGCUAGGGUAGCAAACAGG